GCACGGAUUAUUACCGUCACACAUGUAGCUUUGAAAAUAAAUCUUCUACAAGACACAGAGCUGUAGCUCCAUUUCAGUGUGAGCUCUAAUGUUUCUCUGUGUGACUGUGUCUGACUUCCUCGAAUAAAAUCCUCCUGUUCACUGGGAGCUGCAGCUACCAGGGAUAUGAAUAUCUAUGUAUGGGUCGGAUGACUGGGAGCAGGAGAGCAGUGAUUGGUCAGACUGAGAGCCGGAGAGCAGUGAUUGGUCAGACUGUCCCGCCCACAUUUACGGCUUCCGCUGUUUACCGACGCUACUGCUAACAACGUCAGCAUUUAAAAGUGAAGAUAAACUCUACAGCCUUGGUCUGGAUCAUUGGGAACAUCCGGUCUGAUGGAUGAGAGCUACAGAGAACAUGAACAUCCAGCUGUGGUUGUCUGAAGAGUCUUCUCUCCUUCAUCACUGUGAGGAAGAGCAGCACUGAUGUCCUCCUCAUCCUUCCAGGAAUAACAAUAAUGCUGCAGAUUCAGCUCCUCUCUUCAGAAUACAACUUGUCUUGUGACUGUUCAGUUUUUACAUUUCACUGUCAGCAACACAUUAUAUAUAUUUCAUCCAUUUAUUUCAUGUGUUUACACACCUUUACAGUUCACAAUAGUUAAAUAAUGUAGUUUUUAAAUGUGCAAUAAAGGUAAUAAUGAAGCUCUUGA